rnacentral:lncRNA from 1 species
GGCACUUCCCCGCACAGACAGAGGUGUUUGCCUGUUUCCCGCAGCAGAGCAGAUACUGACGGGCCGCUCUCAUGUCUCCCAGAGCCUCCUCUUCUCCACGCUGCACAGCCCCAGCUCUCAGCCUGUCCUCCUAAAGGAACGGAGCUGUUCCGUCCCUGGGAUCCUUUUUGUGGCCCUCCUCUGGAUGCGCUCCAGCAGCUCCACGUCCCUCCUGUGCUGAGGACCCCCCGUGCGGCUGCAGUACUGCUGGUGGCUUCGCACAUCCUGCUGAACCUCUUCCCUCCCACGUGCGAGCAGUCGGCCAUCCGCGGUGCUGCGUGUCGGUGUGCUCGCCUGGCAGUUCCCAAGUGUGACCACGGCACCCCGCGCUGCUCUGCGGUUCAGCGCCCGCACACCAGGCACGGUGUGCCCACUCGGCAUGCUGCGAGCCCUGUGCCUGCUCUGCCCAUCUUCGGCCUCUCCCUUUUCUUUCUUAUUUCUGCCUGAACGGGUUCGGAUGAGACGAGACCUCCCCGAGUGCACGCAGUGCCUCCGCAGAGGCACGGAUCCACCGCAGAACGCUGAGCUCCCGCAGCACCCUUAC